rnacentral:rRNA from 1 species
GACGAACGCUGGCGGUGUGCUUAACACAUGCAAGUCGAACGGAAAGGCCCCCACCUUGGUGGGGGUGCUCGAGUGGCGAACGGGUGAGUAACACGUGGGUGAUCUGCCCUGUACUUCGGGAUAAGCUUGGGAAACUGGGUCUAAUACCGGAUAGGACCAUGGUUUAGUGUCUCAUGGUGGAAAAAUUAUUGUUUUGGUGCAGGAUGAGCUCGCGGCCUAUCAGCUUGUUGGUGGGGUAAUGGCCUACCAAGGCGUCGACGGGUAGCCGGCCUGAGAGGGUGGACGGCCACAUUGGGACUGAGAUACGGCCCAGACUCCUACGGGAGGCAGCAGUGGGGAAUAUUGCACAAUGGGCGCAAGCCUGAUGCAGCGACGCCGCGUGGGGGAUGACGGCCGUCGGGUUGUAAACUCCUUUCGUUAGGGACGAAGCCACACCUUUUUUGGGUGUGGUGACGGUACCUUUGUGAAGAAGCACCGGCUAACUACGUG